AACAUGAAACCCAGCUCCAUACUAGCCCUUCCCCUCUUCCUCUUCUCGUUCCGUUUUCUUCUCAUUUCUUCCUCCCCUCCGCAUUUUCUCUCUCUUUCAUACACACAUACACGCAAGCGCGCGACACACACACCAACACCACAUGUUCGAUACAUAUCUCGUACAUUCGUGCAAGGCACACGUCCUAACACAUAGAAACAUUUUCUCUCACACGUACGUUCAGUCCCUGCCCUCCGCGAUCCGCGCCCCUCCCGAGCGUUCCUUCGUUCCUCGUUCGCUCCGCCGACCCCCUUCUCAUCCGUGCGUUCGUUCGUGGUUCGUUCGUUCGUUCGUUAGGUUGCCAAUGCUUGGCCCUGGGAAUGCGCGGCUCGAACGUACCUCUCUCUUUCUCACUCUUUCUCUCUCCCCUCUCACUCUUUGGCCGUCUCUCUCCCUCAUUCGUCUUAUUGACCCGGACCCGGUUCUCUUCUCUCUCUCUUUCUCUUUCUCUUCGUUCUUCCCUCCCUCUUUCUUUCUCUUUCUCUUCGAUUCGUCGCGUCACCUCCAACUCACCCACCUCGUGUCCAAGGGUUGGGUGGUAAAAGGAAGUUGUACGAAUACAAGGUACAGGUCCUAUCCAAUCUAUAUGUAUACAUUUUCAUUUUUCUUCCUUCCUCUUCCAUUCUUCGCGUAAUACAUAAACACGCGUCUCUCUUUCUCUCUCUCUCUCGCUGUCUCUCCCUAGCGAUUUCGAAUAUUCGGAGGGAUGUUCGUCGAAGCGGCACCCAUUCUCCCGUGAAUUUCUUCGCGGUGAAAUUAAUAUUCGCCUUUCGAGGCCACGAUAAAAUCGCAAGCGCCAUGGAACGUAGAAGUCGGGAGUAAAAGUAAGAGCCUAGAGGCAAAUACGCGGUACAAUGCGUCGAUGCUUCGAAAGUAUAGAUGAACAUUGGCUACAAACAUUAUAGAAUGUUGGAACACGGUAGAAAGUUGGAAUUCAUUUCCACCGUGGCUUGAAAAAUAAUACAAAAUAUGAAAAAAUAUAAAACAUCGAGUAAACAACCAAAAAAAAAAAUACAAAAUAAAAAUGAAAGAAUGUAGGAACUUGUAUAGUUAGUGGUAGCGGUGUAGUAGGCAAAUCGAAGAAAGUACGUUUUCAUCUUCGUAUAACCUCAUUCAUAUGCCUUCCAAUCCGAGAUAUGUAUAAAGGAGCACUUAAAGUGUACAAUUGAUGAAGAAGCCGGAUCGAGAUGAAAAUUUUAUUUCGCCGAACAGGUUUUUUCUAUAUUGGAAGGUCCGCGAUUACUUGGCAGUUUUGCACGAUAUUCGCGCCGCCAUCCUGCGCUUCCAGGGGUGAAUGAAAUUUAAAAUUGCAAGGCGUUGCUGCUUAAUUUAUUCCAUUUCAUAGACCAUCUGGUCUCUUUAGUCGAAAAGUUGUCGUAAUUCACGACUUUAAUGCUAUUUUAACAUAUUUCAUUUGAAACACACGUAUACACACGCGCGUUUUCCUAGAACCAAAUGAAACAGCACAAUUAAUGAUCACAUACGACUUUCUAAUUAGUAUUUCUAAUUCCCCUAGGAUAUAUUUUAGUGUUACUUUAAUUGCCCUUUAUUUUAAACUCUUCUAAUUGCGAGCUAUACUCGCAUAUUUUUGUUCUAAGAAUUUCUUAAGAUUUGGCAUAUCUUCGUCGUCUUUUCUUUCUUUCUUUCUUUCUUUUUUUCUUUCUUUCUUUCUUACCUUUUUCCCUUAUUUCUUUGUUGAGGCGGAGUAUGCGGUUUUAAUGCAAAUACAUACAUAUGUCUAUAUAGAAAUAAUGCACAAUUCCUAGAUGAAAAAAAACGUAUCGCGAAUAGCAAUCUACCGAUUAGAAUUUAUCGUUUGCAAUGGGCUAGGGACCGGUCACGAGGUUUUUACCCGAGUAACGUAACCCAAGCACGAAACAGAAAUUCUCACAAGCCUUUAAAACCAAUUUCUUUUUAUCGUACGUUAUCUUAGAACAACAACGUCAAAAUGUUCGACUUUAUUUCCAUUCUGGGCAUCUUAAAAGUAAGGCUGAACUAAUAACGAGUUCCUUGUUAUACUAUUUUACGACAAAGCUCUCAACGUACGUUUGGCGUAUUAUUCGAAAACGAUCGUUAGCUCGUAAAUCAUUCUUUUGAAAAUUUUCUCAUACAAUUACGGGUCAGUUUGCCGAAAUAAUAUUCGAAAUCAAGCGAGAAAUACUAUUAUACGGUUAUCGGUUUCCCCUUGUCCCUUCGUUCCUGCCAUUCGUUGUCAUCGUCUUUCCAAGAGGAGAGUCUAAAGGCACAAGGACCUCUCUCCCUCUUUCUCUUUCUUUCUCUCUUUCUCUCUCUCUCUCUUUUAUUAUCAAAGAAGCGAGUUUGAAAUUUGUUCAGGCCCGUUUCGAAAAAACAUUACCCAGUAAACGUGAUUUCAAGUAGAAAUUGUAACGUUCCCGUUUCUAAGAGCUUUUUUUCUUUUUACUCGAUCGUAUGCUAAAUUCUAAUAAGAGGAAAAAAUAUCUUCCCGUUCGAUGGCACGACGAAUGAACAAACGAACGAACGAACGAUCAUGCGGAAGACGGGCCCAACGUAGCCCGGAAGCGUGUAAAUCGACCUUUAAGGUUCGUCGAUCGGUAAGGCGGACAACACUCGUCGAGUACAGAAGAGUGAGAGAAAAAGGGUGCGCGAAAAGCAGGAAGCGUCGAUGUGGGGCAAAUUCCAGUGACCGUAGCGGUGUAACGAAACUAAGAAGGGCAAAAAAGUUGACCUCGAGUUUCAAGGGUAGAGAAGGCAGUCAUCCGCCCCUCUACGUUAGUAGAAGGGGGGAUCUACGAGCCAUAACUCUCGUAUUCUUCACGAAGGAAACGAACGAAAGAGAGAAGGCGACGUUGACUCGGCGUCGAUGCCGGUAGUCUCCCGCCAUCCCCACCGGCCAAAUCAAGCAUCCCGAUUGGCCGAAGCGUCCUGGCCCUCCUUUGUGAGGGAGCGGGUGAAAGCGUGGCUUGGCAACGUCGCGCAAGUUCAACGCUGCCCGCUAGAAAGAAGGCUAACCUCGUGUGAAAGCGAAAGAGAGAGAAAGAGAGACGGAUCGACGCGUAUGGCGAAGUGGAAGGAGUAGAAGGGAGGAAAGGAGAAAGAAAGAGAGAGAAAGAGAGAGAAAGAGAGAGAGAGAGAGACGAAACGAGCGAACGUUCGACCGGGCCGGACCUCGUCAGGUUGUUCUCUUCCGUGUCCUCUGUGUGCGAAAUCGAACACGCGAGCUUAAUGCGACGAUAAAAGCUAUCCAAAAGAUCUUUCUAUCUUUCUUUCUUUCUCUCUUUCUUCAGAGUCACGCUUUCUUCUCCAUGCGGGCGGACCAUUAGCGUGUUCCACGAGGAGUAUUUACGACUCCUCAGUGGCCGCCAUCGGUAUCACGGCUCGCGUCGCGGUCGAACGUCGCGCGCGCUUUUACGCACGGCGUUAUCGUCGUUACUUCGUCGUCUUCAUCCUCGUCAUCUUCGUCGUCGCCGUUGUCGCCGUUGGUGCUGCUGUUGCUGUUGCUGCUGCGCGUAGGCGCACGAGAGAAAGAUCGAAGGAUUUCAUUCGUUUAGGAGAGAGGGAAAGAGAAAGCGCGAUCGUUUGAGUCGGAAAAAAGAGAGAGAAAAAGAGAGGGGCGGUGGGGGGGGAGAGGUUAAAGAAACAAAGAAAGAACUACGAAGCAAAGUAUGUUCGCGAAAGCUGAUAGAACAAUGGAGUUUGGAUAUAGCGAGCAUAGAUGUGGUAAUAGGAGUGUCGUCGUUGGUAGCGGUGAUUAGAAAAAUUAACGAAUGCGCUUGGUUAGCGUUAGAAAGAAAUAGAAAGAAAGAAAGAAAGAAAGAAA